GCCACCAUCGAGCAUCGUGAUGACAGCAACACAAUUUCUGUUUACAUAAAUUGCAACAAUGCCGGCGCAGAGUUUGUGCACGCCAUGGCCGAUGGAGUCUCUGUUGCAGAUAUCAUUACACCUGUUUAUGUUCCUAAUGAAACUGUUUACUCUUUUUUCCCACUAAAUGGAGUAACAAACUGUCAGUGUAUCUCCGAGGCCAAGCCGUUGCUUGGGGUUCAAGUGACAGAGCUUGUGGAUGGAAUCUUCAUCGCUUGCACUAUCAAUCACUCCGUUGUUGACGGCACUUCCUUUUGGCAUUUCUUCAAUUCCUGGUCUGAAAUCUCACGGGGUUCUGAUUGUAUUUCAAAAGUUCCAGUUCUCGAACGUGGGUUUCUCUCUGAAUCAGAAUAUUUUCCCAUUCGCCUCCCUCUCUGGAGCAUUGAACCUUCCGGAACUCGCACUCCACCGCCUAAUUUGCAACAAAGGUUUUCCACUUUACGAAGGAAAACGUUGCAAAACUCAAAGCAAAAGCCAAUGCUGAGAUUGGUAGUACCAACAAAAUCUCCUCUCUCCAAGCAAUCCUUUCCCAUAUUUGGCGAUCUGUUACUCGUAAUCGAUCUCUUGAUCCUGAUGAAGAAGUUCAUUUCAUGUUAGGAAUGGGAGUUAGACAAAGAUUGCAACCACCACUGCCACCAGAAUAUUUUGGAAAUGCAGCUCAGGUACUGGGAGAGUUCGCAUCCAUGAAAGCUUAACAUAUAGACUUUGUAAAUUAUUUUGAAUGCUUAACAUAUUUCUUUUAAUGUGAUCAAUAAAAGUUUUAAAAGCAGUCUAACAGAUUAAUGAUAAAUAAAUUUGUUUCAUAUUAAAAAUAAUUCUCGAUGACUUGAUAAUCCUGUGAAGAAGUUCCUUUCGAACUAUCGAUAGGAGUUAGAAUAAGAUUGCAACCAUCACUGCCGCCUGAUGAAUAUUUCGGAAAUGCAAUUCUAUAAAGCGGGAGAUCAAAUUGAAUAUGCGGCACUGCGAAUGAGCAAUGUUAGUGAAACUGAUAAAAUGUGAAGAACAGAGGAAACGAGUACAUGCUGUCACUAUGUAUUUGACAGCAGCUGAAUAGCUCACUCAGCUGACGUCGCUUAGUUAGUUAUUUUGAUUUAAGCAUUCUUCACAUGUGUGUAACAAAUUGCCAACAAUUAGUAACAAAUUGCCAACAAUUAGUAACAAGUUGCUUCACUUGCUAUAUAUAUGUAUAAUCUGUACUCAUUCGAUUAAUGAGAAGUUUUUACAAGUUUCCAUUAUGAGUUUUUCAUUCAUUUUCCUUUUAACUUUCUCGCUUCCCAAACACAAAUACUUGAGUUUCUAUCAUGGUAUCAGAGCCAUCAAUGGUGUUGUAAAAAAUUUUAAUAUACUCGUAAGCGCACAAAUGUAGAAUAAAAUAAUGGUAAUAAUGUCAAACCCACAGGGAUUAUUAUAAAUUAAAAAGUCUAAUUUAAAUAAAUUAAUAUUAAUUCUAACCUAGUUGAACAAAUUGAGUUUCUAAUAAAAUUACACCAAUUAAACUAAGAAAACAAUUAAAACAAAGGAGAAUUUAAUAAGACAAAAAUUACUAAUGUUUCAGAAUCCACCACUAAUCAACUAGUAAUUACCUAAUUAUUAAUUAAUCCCCAAUUUUAGAGUGACAACUCGAAAUCAAUUUAUAUCAUCUCAUGGAUAUAACAAUUAAGCCCAAAUAAAAUUAAUCUUGUGUUGGUUCUUUUUCUUCUUAAUAAUAUGAUAUCUAAGCAUCCCAUGUAAACAUAUUGAAUAACAAAGAGUCAAAGUUUUCCGAAGCACUCUGUGUAAACAAUUUAAUGAAAGACACAGAAUCAAAGAUAAUCAUGUAUAAAUUUUAAAGACUCAAGCAUAAAUUUAAUCGGAUAUUAAGUGUAACAAUCAAUAAUACAUGACAGAAUUGAUGAAAAGAUUUUAAUAACAUUCAACUAAUCAUGUGAAACACGAACCAUAAAUAUUAAAGAACAUAUGUAGAGAAUUAAUUAAAUAAAAAGAUAAUUAUUUCAUUAAAUAGAGUUUCAUCUUUAACCUCAGUAUAAAAAAAUUAGUUAGACACACUUAAAUAGAGAAUAACAAAUAAAAUAAAAUCAGCCAUGGAGAAGCCGAACUGUUGUUGCUGCUGCCACUCCUCUUCAAAGCCAAAUACUCCCUCUUUUUCUCUCGUUUGGCGGCUGCCCUCUCAAAAACCAAAGUUGGCUUUUUAUAAUGCUUAGCCACCCACUGACUUAACAAAGCCCACUCACCAAGCCCUUUUUAAAUUGUUUCCUUAUUAAGGGUUGAAAACUAGCCACACGUUUAACUUAAAAGUAAAAGGCCAAUUAAUAGUUUCUUCUUUUAAUGCCCUGCACAUGCAUUCCAAAUUGCCAAAUCUUUGCUUUCCAAAUGCAUGCCCACCAGUCAUUAUUUGAUGAGAUUGACUUCCAAUUUUGGUCUUCUUGACUUCCAUUAAUUCUUGACUGUAUUUUUGUCUUCUAAUUUAAUCUUUAUUCCUUCCCAAUUUGAACUUCUUCAUGCCUUUUUUAUCCUUAAUCUUCAAUUAAUUUCCUAUUGAAUAAAAUAAUUCAAUUAAUUAAAAGUAAAAAAUAAAAAUAACUAGUAAAUAUGUAAUUACGGGUAAAAUAUGUAUAUAAAUUAUGAUCAUCAAAUGGCAAGCAUGAUUCAAUCCAAUACAUCCUCCUCUCCUUCAAAUAAUUCCCUACCUCAUAUCCUUCCUGCACCUCCUCCCAUUGGUCAUCCUAUGACGACCAGAUCCAAGAAUGGCAUAUUCAAGCCAAAGUCUUAUCUAUGUGCUCUUUUAGCCUAAUCAUUUGAACUUUCCUCUGUCUCUCAAGCUUUAUCUGAUCCAUUAUAAUUCAAAGCCAUGCAAGAAGAAUUUCAAGCCUUACAAGCCAAUCACACAUGAGACUUGGUACUACCUACUGCUCAUGUUAAAGUGGUUGGUAACAAAUGUGUUUUUAGAAUAAAAUACAACCUGAUGGGUCAAUACUAAAGUACAAAGCACGACUGGUUGCUAAAGACUUCCAUCAGAUACAUGGUAUUGACUACACUGAAACCUUUAGUCUAGUAGUAAAAGCCUCUACUGUCAGUAUUACUGUUAUGAAUAAUUGGGUUCUUCGGCAAAUAAAUGUCAAUAAUGCUUUUCUAAAUGGUAUUCUUGAUGGGGAAGUGUAUAUGACACAUCUCGAAGGAUUUAUUGAUCCUCAUAAACCUUAGCGCAUAUGCAAAUUGAGGAAAGCUAUCUAUGGUUCGAAACAAGCUCCAAGAGCUUGGUUUGCCAGACUUAAAACAACAAUGCUUUCUUAGUGGCAUUUUUAGAGCUCUAAGUCAGACAAUUCACUCUUCUAUAAGAGAGAAAAUUGUCAUUUACUUUUGGUUUUGGUAUAUGUGGAUAAUAUUAUUGUUAUUGGUUCUAGCUCAGCGAAAGUUCAACAAGUAAUUCAAGAUAUGUAGAAGACUUUUGCCUUGAAGGAUCUAGGAGAACUCAACUAUUUUUUAGGCAUUGAAGUCUCAAAACUUCAAAAUGUCAUUCAUUUAUCCCAGGCUACGUACAUUGCUGAUAUUUUGGCAAAAGAUGACUUAGUUAAUUGUAGUCUAGUGCCAACACCUAUGUCUACAGGUCAGCAACUCACCAAAGACUCAGGUUCUGAAAUUUCAAAUAUUUCUCAGUAUAGAAGCAUUAUUAAGGCCCUAUAAUAUGUUACUCUCACUAGACCAGAGAUAGCCUUUACUGUCAAUAAGCUUAGCCAGUUUCUAUCUAAUCCUAGAACUACACAUUGGGAGGCUUGCAAAAGGUUGUUAAGAUAUCUAAAAGGCACAAUUCAUUUUAGUCUUCAAUUUUACAAUUGUGGAGCUAUGCAGAUCAACUCUUUUACAUAUUCAGACUGGGCUUGUGAUCGGGAUGAUAGAAAAUCAGUAGUUGGUUUUGCUGUUUAUCUAGGUGCCAAUCUGGUUUCAUGGUCAUCCACGAAACAAUUAGUUGUCUCAAGGUCCAGUACAAAAGCUGAGUACAGAGCUUUGGCUCAUGCUGCAUCAGAGGUCAUUUGGAUAUAGUUUUUACUUGUUGAGCUAAGAAUUCAGCUAAGUACUACACCAAUUAUGUGGUGUGAUAACCAGGGAGCAAUUGCCUUAGCUUAUAAUUCAGUUUAUCAUGCUAAAACAAAGCAUGUUGAGCUGGACAUUCAUUUCAUCAAAGAUAGAGUGGGAUCAAAAGAAAUAGUUAUUUGUUUUGUGCAUAGUGAAGAUCAAACAACAGAUGUCUUAACUAAGGCUCUUACUUUCACUUAGUUCCAUUACUUGCGCAGUAAAUAAAAUGUUUAUCCCAGAAACGCCAGUUCCAGAGGGGAUAUAAGUAAAGAUGAUAAUUUGUGAAGAAUAAAAGAAGGGAGUAAUGUGAAAAGCAGAAACUCCAGCUUAAGAGAGGAUGUUAGUGAAACUGAUCCCUUGGAGUCCUGGAGACAAAACCUUGUGGUCUUAACAUGGGAAAGCUAGAAGACGAAAUCUUAUUGGUUUCCAAAUAGUUCGUCGAGGUUCAAUAGCAAUGAGAAGUGGUAUAAGGAAUAAUGCUUAUGGAAAUAUCACUUUGUUUACAGGAGUGGAAGAAGGUAAUGUCGACAUUGAAGCUUGCUUUUUGCCGGAGACACAACAGGGUAUAGGACAUGAGACAUAGUUCAUGCCAUCUACGUGUUAACGUCUUUGGUGAUCCUAAAAUAUUACUUUCUAAUCAUUCAUUUACACGUUAUCACGUGUAAAUGAAUGGUAUCAUAAUUAGUUAAAAGCACACAAAUGAUAAAAAGUGAAUUCAUUACUAUAACUAUGCUUUAUUUAGGCACCUCAUGCAAUAAAUUAUUUCAUCUCAAAACUCAAUUUAAUAAUUAAUCCCAUGAACAUCCAUUCGUUAGAGCAUGACAACAAAAUUUAUGUAUGGCAUAUGUGGCAGAGCAUAAUAGUUGUAGAGAAAUGGAAAUUGAAAGGAAGGAGUUGGUAGCUUAUAACUGUGAUUCAAGUUUUUGCUUUAGAAUCUUUCAAAAAAAAAAAAGUUUUUGCUUUAGAAAUUUUUUGACUCGACCUAGUAAACUGGUCAAUACCUCACGUGCUCAUUAAACUAUCAAAUUUGGGGCCCAAUUUGAUGGGCCUAGUUGGUUGCAGUGUUGGGUCUGGUUAGUCUCAACAAAUACUGGUCGUAGCCUCGUAGGCAGUUCGCAUUAGAGAUUUAUAAUGAUUGUAAUGUGUGAAUGAGUAAUAGAAAGCUCUAUUUAUUGGCACAAGGAGUAACCUUUGUGCGGUUGUGCAGAUAAAAAGAGAAAACAUGUAGUGGGUUAUAUGAAAUUAAAAGUAAUAUGUUGUUAUAAACACAAUUAGAAAACUCCUGAUUUAAGCCAUAAAAGCCUUCAACUCAACACUAAAGUAUUCAGGGAACUACACUUAUGGUUUGAAUAGAAAUGCACAACCAUGGUUCUAAUACCAAUGGCUAAAAUAAUUUUAAGCUUUACGGCAAUGAAUCCAUUCAACAUAUUUCAUAAGGGAGAAAAACUGCAUUUUAUCUUGGUUGGCCAUGAAAAAGACUUGCUGGUCAGCUUGUUUCUUGCCCGUUAAUUCAACCUUUUGUUCUUGACUUCAAUCUCAACAGCAAAAUCAAGCUCCUCAUUCACUGCACACACACACAAUUAGGAGAAAGGAGAAAAAGAAAGACAGUGUAUAAUGGAACUGCAUUUUAAAGAAAUGUGUAGAAAACAAUCAAAACCUCUACAGAAUUCUUAGUAUUUUUGUCAACACAAUACUUCUUCUUUUAAAGACAUUUAUGCCAUAGUACAAAACCUUAGCCUACAAGAUUUGUACACACAAAAUGAAAAAAGAGCCAAGUAAUUCAUGAAUAAAAAACAUAGAGCAAAGAAGGGAUAAGUAACAUAAACACGCACACGAAAUUGGCACAGAUGAACAAAGAACGAGUUGCAAGCUCUUUAUUACCGAAAGAAACGAGCCCCAUAUCAUAUGAUCUCCCUACAAGCUUUACAAUGAGCUAUCAUAUGCUUUCUAACUCUCAAAGAUUAACAAGUUACAGGCCUUAGAAACUGCCCUCGUAAAUUCAUUUUACAGCUAAAUUUUCUUGCUAUUCAUGUGAUGAGCAUAUACUAUAUACAUAUUUUACCCUUAAUUAUAUAAUUGCUAAUUAUUUUUAUUUGAUAUUUUUAAUUAAUUAAUUAUUUUGUUGAAUAAAAAAUUACGUGGAGAUUAUGAAUAAAAAAAAGGGCAUAAAGGAGCUCAAUUUCGGAAGCAUUAAUUAAUUGAUUUUCGGAGCAAUUAGGCAUAUUUGCAUGUGAAGUCAAGCCAAGGAAACCAAAUUCAACAAAUUAAUUCAUCCAUGCACAUGAAGACAAAGAAGAUUAUGGCCAUCACGUGAGAAGCAAUCACCAUUAUUGUUAGCAUGUGCAUGGCAUUAAAAAAAGGGAUUCUAAUGCAAUUCUAAGUGGUGAACACGUGUGAGAGCAAAACAAAUUAAAAGGCCAAGCCUUUCGGCUUUAGAGUUGGAAUGGUUGGUGGCUCAUUUUGGAGAUUAUAAAAAGAAAUAUGAACUUUGGCUUUUAAGAGGCCAACCGCAAGAAGAGAAAAAAGAGUGCAACGUUAGGCAUUCGGCAGAGGAGAAAAUAGCGGCAGAAGCUCUUUAAUUCUUUUAUGGUUGGUUUUAUUUUAUUUGUUGCUCGCAAUUCAAGUAUGUCUAGCUAAUUUUAUUUUACUGAGGUUAAAGAUGAAACCUUAUUCAAUGAAAUAAUUAUCUUUUUAUUUAAUGAAUUCCCUACAUGCGUGUUUUAAUGUUUAUGUUUUUUUAUUUUACAUGAUUAGUUGGAUGUUAUUAAAUCUUUUCAUCAAUUCUGUCAAGCAUUAUUGAUUGUUAGGAUUAAUAUUCAAUUAAAUUUAUGCUUUGGUCUAUAAAGUUUUUAUAUUAUUAUCUUUGAUUCUAUAUCUUUCAUUAAAUUGUUUACAUAGAGUGCUUAGGAAAAUUUUGACCCUUUGUUAUUCAAUAUGUUUACAUAAGAUGCUUAGAUAUCAUACUAUUAAGCAGAAAAGAACCUACAUUAGAUUUAAUUACUUGGGCUUAAUUGUUAUAUUCAUAAGAUGACAUAGAUUGAUUUCGAGUUGUCACUCUAAAAUUGGGGAUUAAUUAACAAUUAGAUAAUUAUUAAUUGAAUAGUGGUGGAUUCUGAAACCUUGAUAAUUUUUGUCUUAUUAAAUUCUCUUUUAUUUUAAUUGUCUUAGUUUAAUUAGUUUAAUUUAUGUUAAAACUUAAUUUGCUCAACUAUUUUAGAAUUAAUAUUAAUUUUAGAUUUAAAUUAGACUUUUCAAUUUAUAACAAUCCCUGUAGGUUUGACCUUAUUACCACUAUUCUAUUUUUAAAUUCGUGUGCUUGCAAGUAUAUUAAAAUUUUUCACAAUAAGUUUUUGGCGUCGUUACCGGGGAUUGUGCCAGAAAGUCAGUUUAAUCUAGAUUGAUUUGUUUUUUCCACUAGUUAUAAUUUAAGUUGUCUUUUAUUUUUAUUUUAUUUUUUUAAUAGAAAACACAAAAAAAUAUUUAUUUGUCUUUAAAUUUAUUGUUUGGUUGUUUGAUUUGUUUUAUUUUAAAUUCCGUUUAUUUUUAUUAUUGUUGCUUUAUUUUCCUUUCUUUGUCUAGUUAGUUUAUGAGUGUUUGGGAACGCGAUUCAACAAAUCGUUUGGUAAGAAAAGAGUCUAAAAUUGAUAGUAGUCGAGUUAGUUCUUCAAAAGUGAUGAAUGACCCAAAUAGAAUAUUGUCAGUACUUCCACCAGUGCAAGCAGAGAAAAUCCUUAGAGAAUGUUUUUCACCACUUGCAGCCAACCAACCAUCUUGUAUUGUGUUGCCACAGACUACAGCAACACACUUUAAACUCAAGCCCUCUGUCAUUUAGCUUUUACCAUCUUUCCAUGGGUUAGAGAGAGAGGACCCAUAUUUGCACAUUAAGUACUUUUUUGACAUGUGCUCUACAUUCUAUUUUCAAAAUUUUAAUGAUCAGUCAAUUAGGUUUCGUAUGUUCCCUUUCUCAUUAAAAGACAAAGCGGAAGCUUGGUUGAAUUCACUUCCUGCUGGGUCUAUUACUACAUGGGAUGAAUUAAGUAAUAAGUUCUUUACCAAGUUUUUCCCUAUGUCUAAAACAAAUGUCAUUAGGAGAGAGAUAAAUGAUUUUUGUCAAAGAGAGGGUGAACAAUUUUAUGAGUGUUGCGAAAGAUUCAAUGAUUUACUCCUCAAGUGUCCCCACCAUGGUUUUGAGAAAUUGAGACUUAUACAGUGCUUUUAUAAUGGUUUAACUAUGUCAAAUCAUCACAUGAUAGAGUCUGUGAAUGGUGGGAGAUUUUUUAAUUUACAUAAGGGGCUGCUUGAGAUUUCUUUAUUUUACUUUUUGAGAAUUCUCAACAAUGAGAUUUUUCAAAUCAAAGAAAAAAAUGAUCUCAAGUUUCUAGGAAAGUCUAUAUGAAGUUAAUGAUGAUUUUGAUGUUAAGGUCAUUCUAGCUACACUUUCUAAGAAAAGUAGAUACCUUAACUCUGAACCAAUCAAUGAAUCAUCACCCUAGUGUACCUAAUGAGGUUUGUACUCUUUGUUCUAACUUGUCUCAUACAGCACAUAAUUGUCCAUCAUUGCCAGCCUAUCAAGAGGCUUAUUCUGAGCAAGUACACGCCUUACAAUCAUAUGAAAAAAACCUUCAAUAGUCCAUAUUCAUCCACAUAUAUUCUUAAUUGGAGGAACCACCCUAAUUUUUCUUGGAAACAAAGUCAGCCUUUAUCAAACUAAGGAGGACAACAAUUCAACGUACCCAAUCAACAAUUUGUCCUUACUAACCAAGUAUAUCCUCCUGCCCAACAGCCUGUGUCUCAAUUUGUUACACCUUAGCAAAGAAAACCUUCUUCAGAUGAUACACUUCAAAGUUUCAUUCAGUCAACCCAACAAGCUUUUCAGUCAAACACUCAAGCUAUUCUAAAGCUUGAACAUCAAUUGGGUCAAUUAGCAACUGCUAUGGCUGAGAGAAAAAAAUGAAAAUUCCCAAGUCAACCAGUUCUUAAUCCUAAAUGAGUGCAUAAAGUUGGAUCAACUUCAAGCCAUCAGUAUAAAGAAGCAAAAUCUAUUAUGACCUUGAGAAAAUGAAAAAUAUUUGACAAUAAGGUGGAGGUUCGAACAAGAAAGACAUCUGAACCUACUUCUGCAUAUCCAGUUCCAUCACAAGACUCAUCACUAAAUGAUCCAGAAGAAAGUAAUCCACCAGCUUACAUUCCUAAGGCUUAUUUUCCUUAAAGGUUAACAAAGGUAAAGAAAGAGACUUCAACAUGUGAGAUUAUAGAAAUCUUCAGGCAUGUAAGUAUAAUCAUCCCUUUACUCGAUGGUAUUAAGCAAGUUCCUCAUAUGCCAAGUUUUUGAAGGAUUUAUGAACUAAAAAAAGAAAUUUGCAUGUCACCAAAAAUGCAUUUUUAACUGAACAAACUAGCAAUUUACUUCAAUAUAAAAUGCCACCAAAAUUUAAGGAUCCAGGUUCCCCUACUAUCUCAUGUGUUAUAGGGAACCAAUUGUUUGAUAAAGCAUUAUUGGAUUUGGAUGCAAGUGUUAAUCUCUUGCCUUACUUUGUUUACAUGCAGCUUGGAUUACAUAAAUUAAAGUCAACUUCCAUUAUUUUGCAACAUGCAGAUAGGUCAAUGAAAAUACCUCAUGGUAUUAUAGAGGAUGUGUUGAUACAGAUUGAUAAAUUUUAUUAUUUUGUUGACUUUAUUGUUAUUGAUACUCAGCAUGUACAAGAUCCUAAGAAACAUACCCCAGUUAUUUUAGGUCGUCCUUUCUUAGCUACAGUUGAUGCUCUUAUUAAUUGCAGGAAUGGAAACAUGCAAUUAUCUUUUGGUAACAUGACCAUGGAAUUAAAUAUUUUUAAUGUUCCUGAUAACUCUAUGAAAUGAGAGUUAUUACAUCAAUUCUAAACUUAAAUCAAGAUCACUUAGAGAACAAAUAAGGUGUUUUUAUUACAUUUUGGUUAUAUUUUGCAUAAACAUUCAUUUUAGUUAAGUUUUAAUAAGUUUUGUUUAAAUCAAAGUAAUUGGUGCUAAAAACAGUUGCAUAAUUGUAGGUUUUCAGAAAGUCUUAAUUCAUGAGAGGAUGGUGAGACAUUAGAUGAGCAAGGGGAGGAAAGAAGAUAGCCGCAAAAGAAGUAAAGCACAAUCGAGAAUAGUACAGUGUUGUAGCGGAUGUUAAAGCAACCAGUGGUAUAACAAUCUGGGAGCAAUGCUGGAGAAAAUUUAGGCACGGGUCAGCUGCAGAAUCGCGAUUUGCAUGUUUCCUAAUUUAACUCAUGCACGCUUAUGGACUUUUGUUUUACUCUAGUUUGCAGUAUAAAAGAUAGGCGUGCACCACAUAAAGAGGCGACAAGAGGAAUUAUCAUAAAAAAUCAUUAGAGAGAAAAAGAGAAGAAGAUCAGAAUUAAAGAGUGUUGUUUCGGCAACAUUGAGGAAUCUGGCAGAAUUAUUCGAAUUUGUCUUUCACUAUGGUCAACUGAUAUUUAUCUUCUUCUUUUGAUUGUUUUAAUGUAUCCCGUGAACAACAUAUUUAUGUUUGUUUUUCUUAUUCAGAAUAUGAACUAGAUUUGCUUGUAGUUGAGUGACAAACAAUCCAAUGGGUUCUUGACUGUUCUUAUGUGUUGUUAUGUCAUUGCUGUAGCAUUAUACUCUAGUAGUUAUUAUUAAUAUAACUGUUAUUUCGGUUGACCACCCAUUUAAUAGUUCCAGUUAAGAUAGAGCAGCAAAAAUGCAUGUCUUAGCGGACAUUAUUAGAGUAUUACUUGAUCUUAAGUUAAGUUUCCUAGAUUAAGUUAUCUUGAAUCCCAUAAGGGCAAUACUUGAAGUUAAGAUUUGUGACACACUAGACAUAGGUGCUCACCUUGUAGGGUGGAGAGAUAAAAAAAGAUCAUAAAGCCAUAUCAUGAGUAGAUUAGCAACUGGUCAUUGCUAGUGUAUUUAAGGGUAUGAGAGUUCCAAUAUGCAACAGCUGAGGAUGCAGAUUAAUUCCGCCCAGUACUGCAGCACUUGCUGUAACAAUUGGAGUCCACUUGAUGAAAAACAGUCAGCCCAUAAGGAGAGUUUGAUCAUUCAACUACCAUGUUCUUACUUGAAUCUUAGACACAUUUAGUUUAGUUUAUUUCAUUGUGGUUUUGUUUAUUUUAUUCUCUCACAAUCAUUAAUUACGAUAGAACACAUUUUACGUUUGUUAACUUCGGAUUUGAAUUAGUUUGCACUAUUGUGAUUGCUACAAUAUUUUUGGUAACAUCAAUCCCUGUGGAGACGAUCUUGAAUACUCAUCACUUUAUUACUUGUUGUGUACACUUGCACAUUGACAAUAAUAGCUUUUGAUUAUAAAAUCAACCAACAAGUUUUUGGCGCCGUUGCUGGGGGUUGAUUAUUUAUUUUUGAAGUGUUAAGUAAAUCUUGAUAGCACCAAAUUUGAUUUAAUUCAUUCUAUUUAUUGGCAGAUCAAUACUUGCAUGCGCAAAGACAGAUAUGUGAUGUUUCAGUUCGAUCCUGAGAUUGAAAUGACUGUUAGGAGAUUGCGAAGAGAACAAAGGAAGUCAAAAACUGUUUCAAGCAUGAAUAAUUUACAGGAUGAGGGAAAUUGAACCUUCACGGGCCCUUACAACCAGUUAACAUUCAAGAAGAGCAGAAUGAACAUGCUAACGAGAGACAACCAGGCAAUAACAAUAUUAUUUACAUGGCUAAUGACAGAGACAGAGCUAUUAGAGAUUAUGCUGUGUUAACUCCUCAAGUUGUACACCUUGGGAUAAUCAGACCUGAAGUAGAAGUUGUAAAUUUUGAGUUGAAGCCAGUGAUGUUUCAAAUGUUGCAAACAGUUGAUCAAUUAAAUAGAUUACCAAAUGAAGAUCCUCAUCUCCAUCUUAAGUUGUUCUUGGAAGUGAGUGAUGCUUUCAAGAUUGCUGGAGCAACACAAGACGCCUUAAAGCUGAGACUUUUUCCUUAUUUCUUAAGAGAUCGAGCAAGAGCAUGGUUAAAUUCGUUACCAUCUGAUUCCAUCACUACAUGGAAUGAGUUGGCUGAUAAAUUCCUAAUGAAAUAUUUUUCACUGACAAAAAAUGCAAAGUUGCGGAAUGAGAUAACUUCUUUUCAUCAACUUAAAGAUGAAAGUUUGUACGAGGCUUUGGAAAGAUUCAAAGAAUUGCUCAGAAGGUGUCCUCAUCAUGGCAUUCCUUGUUGCAUUGAAUUGGAAACUUUCUACAAUGGGUUGAAUCCAAGUACAAGGUUAAUGGUGGAUGCUUCAGCAAAUGGAGCCCUGUUAUCCAAAUCUUAUACUGAAGCUUAUGAAAUUCUGGAGAGAAUUGCCAAUAAUAAUUAUCAGUGGCCAUCAACCAGGCAACCAGCAGUAAGAGGAUCAGUAGGGGUACAUAACAUAGAUGCAAUUACAGCCUUAUCAGCACAAGUAACCUCAUUGACUAACAUGGUAAAGACCAUGACAUCUGCUCCAACAGUAGUGAAGCAAGUUGCGGAACUUUCUUGUGUAUACUGUGGUGAAGGACACGACUUUGAUAAUUGUCCUGGAAAUCCAGCAUCAGUAACUAUGUGGGUAAUUUCAAUCGACAGCCUCAGAACAACCGAUAUUCAAAUACUUACAACCCUGGAUGGAAACAACACCCAAAUUUCUCAUGGAGUAGUCAGAAUCGAAAUGCUCCAGCAGUAAAUGGACAAAAUAGGAACACUCAACCAUCUGGAUUUCAUCAGCAGAGUCAGGGGAAAAAACAUAGCAAUCAGGAUCCAAUCAUUUCACUGGAAGCAUUGAUUAAAGAGUACAUUACAAAGAAUGAAGCAAUUGUGCAGAGUCAAGCCGUAUCCUUGAGGAACCUGAAAAAUCAAAUGGGACAACUUGCCACAGCAAUGAGUAGCAGGACUCAAGGAAGUUUACCUAGCAACACAGAAGACCCUAGGAGAGAGGGUAAAGAACACUGCAAAGCAAUUAAUUUGAGAUCUGGAAAAAAUGUUGAUAUCCCAAUUGAUGUGAUUAACAAGGGUAAGGAAGUUAAUUCCUCACAAAAACCACCUCAAGAUGGAAGCAUGUUACAACAACCCAACCAUCAAAACACUAGUUACAUGGGCCAAGCUACAGCAACUGCAGAGGGAGUUCAAUCAGAACAUGUUGAAAAAGAAGUUGCAACACCAGUAGCCACGACCUACACCAAACCAAACAAACAGAGUUUGGUACCUCCUGAAGCUACCCAGCAGUUUAGACAUCCACCACAUUUCCCACAGAGAUUCCAGAAGCAAAAACAAGACAAGCAGUUCAGUAAAUUCCCGGAAGUGCUGAAACAAUUACACAUAAAUAUACCUUUUGUGGAAGCCUUGGAGCAAGUGCCAAAUUAUGUGAAAUUUCUAAAAGACAUCUUGGCACGAAAGAGAAUGCUGGGAGAGUUUGAAAUUAUUGCUUUAACACAGGAAAGCAGUCAUAUGCUCCAAAGUAAGAUUCUUACAAAAGUGAAAGAUCUAGGAAGUUUUACAAUAUCAUGCUCUAUAGGAACUAGGUAUACUGACAGAGCACUUUGUGCUUGGGAGCUAGUAUUAAUUUAAUGCCAUUAUCUGUAUUUAAGCAGCUGGGAGUAGGGGAAUACAGACCAACAACAGUCACUCUGCAAUUAGCUGACAGAUCUCAUGCAUACCCUGAAGCAAAAAUUAAGGAUGUACUGGUGAAGGUGGACAAAUUCAUCUUCCCAGUAGACUUCAUUGUACUAGACUUUGAAGCUGAUAAAGAGGUGCCCAUUAUACUUGGAAAACCUUUUCUAGCAAUUGGAAAGACUUUGAUAGAUGUGCAAAAAGGAGAGCUCACCAUGAGAGUAAAUGAUCAGCAAGUCACAUUUAAUGUACUAGAGGCUAUGAGAAGUCCUGAUGAAGUAGAAGAUUACAAUUUCCUAAGUGUUGUGGAUUUUGUUAUAGCAGACAGAAUGGACAAAUGCUGCAGUAAUGAAAUCAACAAAGUCACCACCUUUGAGAAUGUAGAAGAGGAAGAUGUUGUAGAAAAUCAGAUAGAUUGGAUAAAAGAAAAGAAAUUUGAUAGGCACAACAGGUUUAUUGAGCAUCUGAAUCUUUCAGACAGGAAAGUAAAAAUAACUUUACCAUCUAUUGAAUCACCUCCUAGUCUUGAAUUAAAAUUGUUAUCUUCACAUUUGAAGUAUGUUUAUCUUGGUCAAAACAACACACUCACUGUGAUCAUUUCUUCUACUUUGGAUGCAGGUCAAGAACAGAGUUUAGUAGAUUUGUUGGGAAAAUACAGAAGAGCAAUUGAAUGGACCAUGGCAGACAUCAAGAGGAUAAGCCCAUCAAUAUGCAUGCAUAAAAUCCUGUUAGAAGAUUGCUACAGCAAUUCGGUGGAGCAUCAGAGAAUGUUGAACCCUAUUAUGAAAGAAGUGGUGAAGAAGGAAAUCAUCAAAUGGUUGGAUGCUGGACUCAUAUACCCAAUAUCAGACAAUUCGUGGGCGAGCCCAGUUCAAUGUGUUCCAAAGAAGGGAGAGAUAACUGUGAUAGUUAAUGGGAUGGAUAACUGUGAUAGCUGAUGAGAGAGAUGAACUUAUUUCUACAAGAACAGUGACUAGAUGGAGAGUAUGUAUGGAUUACAGGAAGCUCAAUAAAGCCACAAAGAAAGACCACUUCUCACUCCCAUUCAUAGAUCAGAUGUUGGACAGACUUGUUAGAAAACAAUACUAUUGUUUCCUAGAUGGGUAUUCAGGCUACAACCAGAUUGCUAUAGCUCCAGAAGAUAAGGAAAAGACUACAUUUACUUGUCCUUAUGGAACAUUUGCCUUCAGAAGAAUGCUCUUUGGGUUGUGCAAUGCUCCAGCAACUUUUCAGAGAUGCAUGAUGUCUAUUUUUUCUGAUAUGGUAGAACAAACUUUAUAAGUUUUCAUAGAUGACUUUUCAGUUUUUGGAGAGACAUACAAUGAUUGUUUACACAACUUAGAAGAAGUUCUUAAAAGAUGUGAGAUGACUAACUUAGUACUUAAUUGGGAAAAAUGUUAUUUCAUGGUGCAAGAAGAAAUAAUGUUGGGUCAUAAGGUGUCCAAGAAAGCCAUUGAGGUAGACAAAGUCAAGAUAAAGGUAAUAAAUAAACUGCCACCCCCCACUCAAUAAAGGGUAUAAGGAGUUUUUUGGGCCAUGCUGGAUUUUACAGAAGAUUCAUUAAGGAUUUUUCCAAGGUAGCUAAACCAUUAUGCUCAUUGCUGGAACAUGACAAGCCCUUUCACUUUGACAAAGAUUGUCAUCAAGCAUUUGGAGAAUUAAAGAAAGCUCUUAUCACUACUCCAGUUGUUAUAUCUUUAGACUGGACGUUACCAUUUGAAUUGAUGUGUGAUGCUAGUGAUCAUUCUAUUAGAGCAGUAUUAGGACAAAAAAAGGAUAAGGUUUUUCACUCCAUAUACUAUGCAAGCAAAACUCUUACUCAAACUCAAAUCAAUUACACCACUACAGAGAAAGAGUUGCUAGUAGUAGUAUUUGUUUUUGACAAAUUCAGGGCCUACUUGGUGGGUACUAAAGUGAUUGUAUAUACAAACCAUGCAGCCAUCAAAUACUUAAUUUCAAAGAAUGAUGCCAAGCCAAGAAUAAUCAGAUGGAUCUUAUUGCUUCAAGAAUUUGAUCUGAAAAUUAAAGAUAGAAAAUGGACUGAGAAUCAAGUAGCAGACCACCUGUCACGGCUGGAAGCAAAUACAAGUACAUUGACAAGAAAUGACAUCACUGAAACUUUUCCUCAUGAACAGCUGUUGGUAGUACAACAAGCACAUAUGCUGCAGUUAGGAUCUCCAUAGUAUGCAGAUUUUGCUAACUACUUGGUAAGUGGAUUGCUACCACCUGAGCUGAAGUUCCAAGAGAAAAAGAAAUUUCUUUAUGAUGUAAGAAGUUAUCAGUGGGAUGACCCACAUUUAUAUAAGUUGUGCUCAGAUCAAGUAAUACGAAGAUGUGCUGCAGAAGGAAAGAUUCCCCACAUACUGGAGUCAUGCCAUGCUGCAGCAUAUGGAGGACAUUUUGGUGGUCACAGAACAGUUGCUAAAGUUCUGCAAUCAGGUUAUUACUAGCCUACCAUUUUUAAAGAUGUUUAUGAAUUUGUUAAAUGUUGUGACAGGUGUCAAAGGACAGGGAACAUAACUAGAAGACAUGAAAUGUCAUUGACCAACAUUCUAGAAGUGGAAGUUUUUUAUGUAUAGGGAAUAGAUUUCAUGAGACCUUUUCAACCAUCCUUUGGGAACUUGUAUAUCCUUGUUGCUGUGGAUUAUGUCUCCAACUGGGUAGAGGCUGCAGUAUUACCUACCAAUGAUGCUAAAGCAGUGGUGGUUUUUCUUCAGAAAAAUAUUUUUUCCAGGUUUAGCACUUCUAGAGCAAUUAUUAGUGAUGAGGGUACUCAUUUUUGCAACAAAGUCUUUGCUGCAGCUAUGGUAGAAUAUGGAGUCAGACACAAGGUAGUAACAACAUAUCACUCGUAGUUCAAUGGUUAGGCUGAAGUGUCCAACAGAGAAAUUAAAAAGAUCUUAGAAAAAGUGGUGAACCCAACAAGGAAUGAUUGGUCUUUGCAAUUACAUGACUCUCUAUGGACCUACAGAACAGCAACAAAACUCCACUUGGCAUGUCUCCUUACCGAAUUGUUUAUGGGAAGGCUUGUCAUUUGCCACUAGAGCUAGAGCAUAACGCACACUAGGCACUGAAGAAAUUAAAUUGGGACAUUCAUGCUGCAGCAGAGCAAAGAAAGCUUCAACUUUGUGAGCUUAAUGAAUUACGACUAUUUUCAUAUGAAAAUGCUAGAAUCUAUAAAGAAAGGACAAACCACUGGCACGACAAGCAUAUUCAACACAGACAGUUCAGCCCUGGUCAACUAGUGCUGCUCCACAAUACAAGACUAAGAUUAUUUUCAGGAAAGCUAAAAUCACGAUGGUUUGGAAUUUUUAGGCUGUUAAAAUGUUAUCCUCAUGGAGCUGUUGAUCUUUUAGAUGAAAAACAGGUCACAAAUUUAAAGUUAAUGGACACAGGGUUAAGCAUUACAUACACCCAGCAACAGAUUGUUCAAAGGAGGUUUUACUCCUUAAAGAACCCAGCUAUUGAGCAGUGAAAGAAGGUCAGGCUGAAGGACCUUAAAUCAAGCGCUCCAUGAGAGGCAACCCAUUGUGGAGAUAGCCACUUCAAACCAAGUUUGAUCAUCUUUGGUUUUGUUAAUGGUUCUCCCUCUCUUCCAUUUUAUUUAAUCUUGUUCUUUAAUUUAAGUUACUUAGUUUUAUCUUUUCACAUUAUUGCAUUUUUUUUAUGUUGCUAUCAUUUGAUCUCUUUAUUUUUAAUUAUAUUUUUAGAAUCGAUUUUAGUUUUUGUGGUAAGUAUGAGUGGCAUUAGAUUUUCAUUUUAACCAGUGGGGUUGUAUGGUGACAGAGUGCAGAGGCAAGCCACGUGUCAAAGAGCAUUGGAGGGACGUAUGUAACCGUUGCUAGAGCAAGCAAGUGUGUGCUGCAACACCCAAUAUUACCAUUACAGUAAAUUAAAAAUUAGAGCCUCUCACUUACCGUUGGAGAUAAAUCAUGACAGAUGGCAGCAUGGAUUUGGAUAGCAAUUGCGAAGAAAUCUCCUAAAUUAAUGCAUUAAUUUCGCUGGCCUAUGUUUUAGGGAUAUACAUAUUAAAUUCAAAAUAUUUUCUUCCCUUAUUUAUCUAUAGUUACCGGAUUUAUCUUCACUUAAAGUUCACUAUAAAAGGGAGUCACUGUGCGUAGUGAUCUACGGCACUAUUCCCCAUCUCCUUCGCAAAUACAACUUUCAUAAUUCUUAACCUCUUCUUCUCAUUUUACCAUCAGAUUGUUACUGCUAUAGCAAUGCCAAGGUAUAAGAAAAUAACCAGCCGCCUCAAAGAUCCUUCACACUUCCAGAGUUACCACGCCAAAGAAAAAUAUGAAGAAUUUAUAGAGCCGCGUAAGAUUCUAGAAGAAAAAAGGGUUUCAAUUUCCAGAGCGACUCAUCGGAAUUGUGCAAACAAUACACAAUGCUGCAGCAAAUGGUGGAUGGUUGGACUUUUGCAACCACCCUCGAAAUCCUGUGCUACCGGUAGUCAAGGAAUUUUACGCCAAUUUGGUAAGCCCUGAUCAGCACAACAUUUGGGUAAGAAACACACUUGUUCCAUUAGACUCCCGCGUUAUAAAUGCUUUUUAUAAUUUACUUGCUGAAAUUAAUUGUGAGUAUACCAAGUUGCUUGAUAAAUUGACCCCAAAGAAAUGGAACACCAUCUUCACAACUCUUACAAUUGAAGGGGCAUCAUGGGCUAACGAGGAAGGGUGUGUAGUUAAUAGGAUAGAUUUGAAACUUAUUGUUAAGGUGUGGGUGAAAUUUUUAAAAUCUAGGCUUAUGCCAACCACUCAUACUACUACGGUUUCACAAGAGAGGUUGGUCUUGUUAUAUGUCAUUGUUCGAGGGCUUCUCAUAGAUGUAGGUAGCAUCAUCGAAAAAGAAAUCAGGGACUAUGCAGUUAAGAAUCACAAAACUAAUGCUCUGCUAUUUCCUUCGCUCAUCACCAGCAUUUAUGUAGUAUCCGGUGUUCGUCUUGACGUGAGAAAUGACCAUAUCAAGAAUGAUGGUGCCUUUACGACACGUACCAUUGAGAGAGUUGCUGGUGAGAGUGCUGGAACAACAACUGAACCAACUACUGUAAUAGGAGCAAGACGAGUUAUUGGUUUAGAACAAACAAUUCAGGCGCUCAGCAAAGCUCAGCAGAGGGAAAAUGAUUGGUUUUGGAGCUAUCUACAGCACCUGAACAACCAACUACACUAAUUUGCUUUGUACAUGAAACGCACUCACCGGAACUUCCCUGAUUCAUUGCUCCAGCAAUACAAUUUUGACACCAACACCACAGGUGCUCCAGCAGCAGCCAGUGAAGAAGCCACUGCCACAGAUGAACCAGAAGAAGAAGCUGCAGUCGAACCACAAGCAGAGGUAGAAUCAGAAGAUGCUGAAACAUCUGAUCAACCUGAGGAAGAAGGUGACAAGUUUGCAACUGAUAGCUCACCCACAGAGGCAGAGGACAACUCUGAGAAAGAACGUGAGGAACUUUCCAUUCCAACUCAUUCCAAAACCAGGAAAAGACACAUCAUUCAAGAAGAGGAAGAGGAAAACCCUUAAAAGGAACCUUUCAUUCCAGUCCUUACGGGCAAGGGCAAGGGCAAGGGCAAGGUAAAAAUAGCAACACCUCCAGCCUCUGAAGAUGAAAUAGAGCAAAUCGAUGCAGAGCUGGCUGCUGCAGUAACCAGAGUUACGCCUACACCUGCAGAAGCCAAGCAGCUACUUGAUAUCAUUGCUGCCAUCACAGCUGAAGGUCAGGCAGCUGAUGCCUCAACUCCAAUUCCUCCACAGAUGACUCCUAGCCAACUUGUUCGUACCAGUCCACGAUAAUCCAGUAAAAGAAAAGGCAGUACGUUUAAAGGCACUGCUACAACAGCCUCGCCUCAACCAAAACGGACCAGGUCGGUGUCAACUACACAACCUACCCCAGCCGCAACUCCUCUCGCCAGCCCAGUGACGAAAAAGACAAAGACAUUGCCAGUCACUUCCCCACAAGUUUCACCAAAGGAUAAGCUGCGCAGUGCAUCCAAGAAACGCUAAUAUCAUCCCGUCAUUUGCAGCAGUCCCAACCACAUGGAAGUAUCCCUACCUUGCUAGUUAAUUUAUUGUUAAAAAAAAAACUUUUCUUUCAGUUUUAUUGUUAAAAAAAAACUUUUAUUUCAGUAUGUUUUUCAAAUUUUGUGGUAUUUUCUAAUGUCUUCCAUGUCCUUGUCCACUUGUGUGCCUUUGUUAUGUAUGCUUGUGAGGACAUAGCAACUCUCAAGUUGGGGGGGUUGUGUUUCCAAAUGUUUGUGUUUAUGUGUAUGCUUGUGUUGUGUGUUGUGUGAAGCUCUGUUAUCUAAUAUUUGUGUAUGGAUUUGAAAACCUAAUGAAGAUAUAUUGAGUGUUAUUCAAAAUUUAUGAGAAUGCCAAGUAGAGAUAGUUAUAGAUGGAGGUUGAAAUUAUGUCCUGACACUUAGACUUUGGUUGAAUUGUAUGAGAUUGCUAGAGCAAAGCCAAAAGAAUGGAAAAGAUCUUAAGUUUGGGGGGGAAAAUAAGUUGAUUGACUGUGAUAUCUAUGUAAUAAACUCUGUUUCAAUAGCUCAAGUUGCUGAAUAACCAGAUAUGAGUAUGUACCCCAUAUGUAGAAUUGUGUUCAAAGGUAGCAAGAGUUAUGAGCAAUGCUGUAGCAUUUUUAAAAAAAAAAUCCUAUGUCUAAGGCAUUGAGUAGUCAGGUCUGUUCAUGAGCCCCAUGUUCAGCCUUGAAUAAAAAAUAUCUCUAGAUAAGACUAUAUUACAGAUAUUGCUACAGCAACUCUGAUCUGUGCAUGGUUUGAGUAAUUGGGUGUCAUCAUUACAAUUGAUUGACAUUCACAUGAAAAAUAAAUGUUGCAAUGAGGAAGUUGAAUACUCUCCAGUUUCUCAAUCUUAAAAUCAUCACAGUUCGAGUAUGUGAAAUUUAUGCUGCCCCAUAUAUGAUGAAGUUUUAUCACUGCUGAAAUUCAUGCAGUCUCUUAGUGAUGUUAUAGCAUCUCUGGAAUACAAUCAAAGUAGCACACACACACACAAUGGACAGAAAGAAGCUUAAGCCUAGAACUGAUUUACUAUAGUCACGUUGCAUGAUUGGGAUUGUGAUCUGAAGGUGGAAGAAUCCUUGCAAAUUUGAUAAAAGAACUAAAGUUAUUUUGCAUGAUUGUUUGUGUGAAGUAUUAGUAUGUUGUCAUUACUUGAGGACAAGUAAUGGUUUAAGUUUGGGGGUGUGAUAACUCUAGGAAAUGAGAGUUAUUACAUCAAUUCUAGACUUAAAUCAAGAUUACUUAGAGAACAAAUAAGAUGUUUUUAUUACAUUUUGGUUAUAUUUUGCAUAAACAUUCAUUUUAGUUAAGUUUUAAUAAGUUUUGUUUGAAUCAAAAUAAUUGGUGCUAAAAACAUGUGCAUAAUUGUAGGUUUUUAGAAAGUCUUAAUUCAUGAGAGGAUGGUGAGACAGUGGAUGAGCAAGAGGAGGAAAGAAGAUAGCUGCAGAAGAAGUAAAGAACAAUCGGGAAUAGUGCAGUGUUGUAGCGGAUGUUAGAGCAACCAGUGCUAUAGCAAUCUGGGAGCAAUGCGGGAGAAAAUUUAGGCGCGGGUCAGCUGCAGAAUCGCGAUUUGCAUGUUUCCUAAUUUAACUCAUGCACGCCUAUGGACUUUUGUUUUACCCUAGUUUGCAGUAUAAAAGAGAGGCAUGCACCACAUAAAGAGGCGACAAGAGGAGUUAUCAUAAAAAAUCAUUAAAGAGAAAAAGAGAAGAAGAUCAUAAUUGAAGAGUGCUGUUUCGGCAACAUUGAGGAAUCUAGCAGAAUUAUUCGAAUUUGUCUUUCAUUGUGCUCAACUGAUAUUUAUCUUCUUCCUUUGAUUGUUUUAAUGUAUCCCGUGAACAACAUAUUUAUGUUUGUUUUUCUUAUUCAAAAUAUGAACUAGAUUUGCUUGUAGUUGAGUGACAAACAAUCCAAUGGGUUCUUGAUUGUUCUUAUGUGUUGUUAUGUCAUUGCUGUAGCAUUAUACUCUAGUAGUUAUUAUUAAUAUAACUGUUAUUUCGGUUGACCAUCCAUUUAAUAGUUCCAGUUAAGAUAGAGCAGCAAAAGGGCAUGUCUUAGCGGACAUUAUUAGAGUAUUACUUUAUCUUAAGUUAAGUUUCCUAGAUUAAGUUAUCUUGAAUCCCAUAAGGGCAAUACUUGAAGUUAAGAUUUGUGACACACUAGACAUAGGUGCUCACCUUGUAGAGUAGAGAGAUAAAAAGGGAUCAUAAAGCCAUAUCAUGAGUAGAUUAGCAACUGGCCAUUGCUAGUGUAUUUAAGGGUAUGAGAGUUCCAAUAUGCGAUAGCUGAGGAUGCAGAUUAAUUCCGCCCAGUGUUGCAGCACUUGCCGUGACAAUUGGAGUCCACUUGAUGAAACACAGUCAGCCCAUAAGGAGAGUUUGAUCAUUCAACUACCAUGUUCUCACUUGAAUCUUAGACACAUUUAGUUUAGUUUAUUUCAUCACGGUUUUGUUUAUUUUAUUCUCUCACAAUCAUUAAUUACGAUAGAACACAUUUUACGUUUGUUAACUUCGGAUUUGAAUUAGUUUGCACUAUUGUGAUUGCUACAACAUUUCUGGUAACAUCAAUCCCUGUGGAGACGAUCUUGAAUACUCAGCACUUUAUUACUUGUUGUGUACACUUGCACAUUAACACCAAUAGCAUUUGAUUAUAAAAUCAACCAACAGUUCCCAAGCAGGCACAAGACAAUAAUGAAGUCAUUGAAGUAGAUAUGAUAGAAGCAUCAAUUGAUUAUUCAUUUAUUUCUAACCACUAUGCUAAUUCAUUAACACCAUGCACAACUGACUCUAAUUUAUCUUUUGAUGGUGAGAGUGGUAUUAAAGAAGUUAAUGCUUUACUUGAUUCAACUCUUAUCACAGAUCUAAUUAAGAGGAAAGAAAAUAUUAAGCUUAUAACACCCCAAAAUUUUCCAAGAAUUUUAAAAGAAAUUUGAAAUGUAAUCUCUAAACAAUUAAAAUUUAUUAAUAAUCCCAAAUGAAAAUCAAUAAUGUCCAAAGUCGAAACAUAGUCUCUAAAACAAUAAAUAUAACAAUAACCCUCCAAUAUCAAAUUCAGCUCUAAAAUAAUAACCAAAAUAACAACAAUUUAUCCAUCACGAAAAUGCCCAAAGCUUUCGGCUAAUAAAUCAUUUUCUCUAAAACCAAAAAGGCCACAUCUUUAAAAUCACUUUGCAAAAAUAUUGGAGACGAGAGGUGAGGCGUCAACUCAAUAAGCAAACACAUGCAUAAGGUUACUAAUAACGAUAAAGUACAUAAUAAUUAUUAUUAAGUGCCAUGAAUUUGAAAUCAAUAAUCAUUUUAUAUUCUAAUACAUACGUACAGUAAAAUUUAAAAUCAAUUAUAUCAUAACAUAAUGACCAUUUUCAAUAAAUAAUCAUUUAUUAAUAAAAUCUUUCAUUUGUUCAAUUUUGCUCAUGCCUCAUAGUGUCACCUGUACUCCCGGUGACCCAACCGGUAGUUCAAUCAGGGUAUUUUACCCCGCAAUAAUUGUCAAUGGUGUGCACAAUACAAUUAACUGUUCAGUCAUAUCAGUAGCAGAUACUACAGACAAUGAGCAAAAACCUUAAAGUAAUUUUCAAUCUUUCAAUAUUAACGUUCAAUAAUUGAUCAACAAAAUCUCUUAUAAGACAUUUAAUUGGCAAAGCUUUACAAAUUAUUUUAAGGAAAACAAUUUAUGGAACAGAAGUAUUUUAAAGCCAUUAUUUUAAAAACAAUUUAAGAAAAAUAUUUUAAAUAAACUUUAAACCAAAAUGUAAAUCAUUAUUAUAAACUAUAACAACAAACAAUAAUUCAAAAAUAUAAAUAUGCCAAUCCUUGUGAACAACAUUAUUCUUUUCAUACAUAAAUUCGUACACACACACACAUAUAUAUAUAUAUAAUAUUUUGAUGAUAGGUUUUACAAAUCCAAUCCGAAGCUUUUUGUGAAAGCUUUGAUUGAGAAACAAUAAUUUGAGAAGAAGAGCUUUCACAAGAAAUGAUACCAGUACUUUAUUAGAGCCAUGGGGAGGAUAGUGUAAUAUAGGAUAUAAUUUCUAUCCUAUAUUAAAUGACCUUGGACAUUUGUUUAAACCAGUACUUCUAAGAUCGUGGAGUGUGUGUGUGUAUUCAAAAGAUUAAAUAUUUUAAAGACAAAAUAAUAAUCAAUAUUAAAUUGGUACGUGGCGUUGUUUUACCAGAUCAAUGCAGAACUUAAUCUGCCUUAGGGACCAGAUCUGACUUAGAACAGAUCAAUAUCCCGCAUGUUCAGGUUUCCAGUCGAUAUACCAAAAAUUUUAAAAAUUCUUUAUGCAAUUAACGCAAAGGCUCAUGGAUAAUACUAGAUCUGGAUCCCAGAAAUAGUAUUCUGAUUGAAUGGAGGGAGAAGAGAAAAUACGACUAAGGGAAGAGAUCAGGUCUCUGUGCCUUAGAAGAACGUAACAGUUUAAAUAUGCAUAAACUUAAAUUGCAAAAUUAAACAUACAUUUAAAGCUUGAAAUGAAUUAUAAAUUCUUUAAAGAAAUAUUAAAUACUUACAUGAUUUUCUUGAAUCCAAAAUAAGUUACAACUUUUUUAGAAAGGAAAAUUACAAGACAGGAAAUGUUUCCUCUAAGUCUUGAUCCAGAUUUCCCGAAGAGAGAGAGAGAGCUUUCAAAGCCUGCCUCGAUCUACUUUCUGUCCUUCUUUUAAGGGUGCAAGAAGGAAGGCUUUUUGCUGUAGCUUCACAUGCGUUGGAGGAUAAAGGAGUCAGCAAUAGUAAAAGCAGGAUGUGCUUUUGAAAUGUGGGAGCCAGCAUUAUUGAAGGCAUCUUUUGCUUUUGAAGACUUUAGGAAAGCUUCACGUGGAGAGAUGCUCUACGAGGCAAUAGUGUAUACCUUUUGAAAACAUGGCACAUGUGCGGCCACACUUGUGUCUCGAAAGACGUUUUCAAAAGAUAUUCUUACCAAAAUCUUUAUAGGAUGCUUUUGACUUCUUUCUGGACGCAGCAAUGAAGGCUUUAAAAGAUUGGAAAAAUACAAAAAGUACAAGCGAUAAUAAAAAUUACAGAAAUGGGAAAUAUAAGGGAUAAUUACAGAAAUAGAAUUACAGAGAAAAUACAGGAAUGGGAAAUUACCUUUUUUUUUUUUCAAUCAACAAGUUUUAAGUAUGCUUUAAUGGAGAAAGUAUUCCGAAGCAAUCAUCUUCAUUUUCAUCUCCAAGGGAGAUGAAAGGCUUAGCAUCAUCAGAAGAACUUGAACUAGCAAUGGAUGAUUCUGAUCUUGAUGCAAGGAGCUACUGCAUAACUUGAAAGUAUUCUUCCUCCGUUUUUGUACUGGCCAAAAGUGAUUGGGCCUUUGUCCUUUGAGCGAGGAAAGUGCUUUGGGCUUUAACAUCUUGAAUGCUCGGGGUGAGAAGGCCUUUUGAGGAAAGCCAAGCCUGGAUUGUGGCUUCCGAUAGUUUGGAUUGUUCAUCAAACUUAGACCACCAUUUUACUUUAAAGGUCCUUUGUAGAAUGAGUUGGGUAUCUUGAGUGUGGUAAAUGAAGUUCCACAUCCAGACCCAAGGAAGAAAGAAAUUUGUACAGAAACAGAGAAAAUGAGGAAAUCCCUUCUCUGACUCAGAAGGGACAUAAUGAGCUUUAAAAAGAUUUAAACAAUUUAUGGCAUUUGGGGUUAGAAUGUCUGGGCUUGGCCCAAAGUAGUUCCACCAUUAUUGGAACCAAUUUGGAAGGCUUUGUACGGUUAUUUUCGAGUUGAAGAAAAAUAACCAAGAAUAGGUCUUUUUGGGGUUUUGAAUGAAAAAUGUGUUAAACCAGGCCUAUUGGUAAUCCCAGUAAGAAAAUGAUAAACAGUGGUUUAGACGCAUUUGAAAAUUGGCGGGAAAGGUUUUGGGUUUGUGAAGUUGGUCACCCCACUGUUUUGGGCUCAAGACUUUUAAAAUGGUAGCUGUGGAAUGCUUUUAACAGACUCAGUGAACUCAAGAAUGCUUUGAUAGAAAGCCUGAGGUUUUGAUAAAUCCCAUAGUUUGAAAAACCAGCCUUUCGGGAAAAUCUUUGAAACUGCUUGAAACGGAUCAGAGUGAUAAAACCCAUCUUCCAUUGAUAAAAUAUUUUGAUGAUAGGUUUUACAAAUCCAAUCCGAAGCUUUUUGUGAAAGCUUUGAUUGAGAAACAAUAAUUUGAGAAGAAGAGCUUUCACAAGAAAUGACUUCUUUAGAAUAAGAAUGUUUUGAAAUUGCUUUAGAAAUAGUUUUUUCUUUCUCAGGAACUUGAGAAAGAGCUUUAUUUUGGGAAAUAUUUUGUAAAGCUAACAUAAGCUCAGGAGACUUUGUAAUGGAGUUCAUCCAUUAUUUUACCUGCUUAUCGGAGGCAAUGGCUUUAGACUGUGCUUCUUGUUCUUCGACCAUGUCAAUCCAAGAUUUAAUAGGCAUGGCAGAAGAAAGUAAUUUUUCUUUAGGAGGGGUUAUCUGAGUUUCUUUAGAGGUUGUUUGAGGUUCAUGGUCUUUAAGGAUACCCUUGCCCUUGUCUCUUCGUUUGGGCGGCAUUAUCUGUUUUGAAGAAAUUCCCUGGUUAGAAAAUCAGGGAUAGAAUUUGUAUCUCCUUUAAUGAAUUCAAUGUCAAAAUCAAAAACACUUAAAAUGGCUUGCCAUCGUGCAAAAAUCUGUUUUGAUGCAAUAUUUUGAACAUCAUUUUCUAAAACGUGUUUUGCAGCUUUGCAGUCAAUUCUAAGUAAGAAUUUUUUAUUUAACAAAUCACUUUGAAAUUUAGAAAUGCAUAAAACAAUAGAAAGAAUUUCCUUUUUAAUAGUAGAGUAGUUUCUUUGACAUUCAUUCCAAUGAGCAGAAACAUAUUGUACUAUUUGUUCUUUAUUAAUUUCUUUUUGCUUUAAUAUUCCUCCAUAUCCUAAAUCAGAUGCAUCAGUUUCAACAAUCUUAGGUAAUGUAGGAUUAGCAAGAAAUAAGCAUGGAAUAUCUUUAACAUAACUUUUUAUGAGCUUAACAACUUUAGUGUGUUCAUUAGUCCACGCAACAGGAUUUUUCUUUAAUCUAUCAUGCAAAGGUUUUGAAAUUCUAUUAAUAUUAGGACAAAAAUCAAGAACAUAAUUUAAACUUCCUAAAAAUCUUUGCAAUUGGGUUUUAUCAAGGAUUUUAUCAGGAAAUUUGUCAGCAAAAAUAAGAGAUCGCUCAAUAGGUGUAAUGGUUCCUUUGGAAAUGUAAUGACCAAUGAACCUUAUUCUUGUUUGAAACAAGGAAACUUUAGAACUAGAAAUGGCUAAACCAGUCUUUCUAGUGGCAAGGAAAAACGUCUUUAGAUGUUUGAAAUGUUGGUCGAUCGUUUGAGAAAAAACCAACACAUCAUCGACAUAAACAAUGCAAAAUUCAGACAAAGGAGUAUAAAUAUCAUUCAUAAUCUUUUGAAAUUUGGAAUGUGCAUUCUUUAAUCCAAAAGGCAUAACAGUCCAUUCAUACUGUCCAAAAGGAACAGUAAAUGCAGUUUUAUAACGGUCUUUUGGAUGGAUUUGAAUUUGCCAAAAUUCAGAUUUCAUAUCAAAUUUUGAAAAAAUGAAUGCAGCAUGUAGUUUCUGGAGCAAAUCCUUUUUAUUAGGUAUGGGAUACCUAAUCCAUUUUAAUGUUUUAUUAAGGGGUAAUUUAUGACUAGUCUGGGUGUCCCUCUUUCUAUCUCAGAAUUCUUAUUGACAUAGAAAGCAGCACAAGACCAAGGAGACCAAGACUUGACUAUGAGACAUUUAGAUUCUAAAUCUUUUAUCUCAUCUUUGCAAUGUUGCUCUAAUUCUAUGUUCAUUUGGAUUGGACGGGCUUUGGUAAGUAUUUACUUUUCAUCAAAAGAAUUUUCAUAAGGUAAAUCAACCAAAUGUUGUUUUAUGUUCCAAAAAGCAUAUGGUAGAUCAGCACAUAUUUCUUUUUCAAUGAGGUCUUUAAGAUCAGAGAUUUUUCUUUUUACAAAUUCAUUUUGUAAUUAGUUUUCGAUUCUUUGUAAACUCAAAUCCUUUUUUAAAUAAAUCAGAUCAUUUUGUUUUGUUUUGAGGAGUGUAUUGAUUUGGUUCUGGUAAACAGAACAAGCUUUAACAAUAUUCAAAUUUCUUGUUUUAGGUUUCUCAAUAAAAGGAAAAACAAGUCUUUUGGUCUUUACUUUAAAGCAUAUACUAUCAUAGUUGACAGUAUAAGGAGUAAUGAGAUUGAUAAAGAGGGUUCCUAAAAUGACAAUAUGGUGUAUGUCAUUUGUAAGAAUAAAAGAAGUCCUGAAUUCAAAACCAUUGUUAUGAAUAGAGGCGUCAACUUUAGAAUUGACAUUAAGUUUUGAAUUAUUAGCGGCAGAAAGUCUCUCAUUUUUUUUUUCAUGAAACCUUCUGGGGACAAUAUCUUCUUUAAUGCAAUUUAAAUCAGCACCAGUAUCAAAGAGGGCAAUGAUGUCAAUUUCAAAAUCUUUAGAAAAGAUCAAGGUGAUUUUGAUCAAAUAUUUUCUUGUGGUGAUUUGUUUUAAUACGAAAAGAAAAUCAUUGGGUAUAAAUUCAAUGUUUUCUAAACUUUGUUCUCCAUUAUCACCAUUAUCUUCUUAUUCUUUAUCAGAAUUAUCUUGUAAUUGUCUUUGUAAGAGGAGUUGGAUAGUAUCAGAAUCAUUUUUUUUUGUUUUUCUUUUAAGUCUUUUAUCUCGAGUUUGAUAUUUUUUAUUUCUUUCUGAAGAUCUCGGAUAUUAGGAGUCGUUUUUUUCUUUGUUUUCUUUUUAUCCAAAAUUUCAGUAAGAUCAUAUGUAUUCUUUUUAAUUAUUGGGGCUUUAGAAAUUUCUGUUUUAUUUCCUACUUCUAAGGUUUUUAGAAGUUUAUCAAGGUAUUCUCUUUGAAGAGUAGGGUCAGAAAUGUGUUUGACUAAUUCAAGAAAAGUUUCUUGAUCUUUAGUGAAUACAUUGAUUUUCUUUAGACGAUAUUCUAUGUCAGAAUCACUACUACUAGAUUCUGAAGUAUCAGAAUCCACCAACUCGUCAAUUUGUAGGGGUCAUUGUCUCCUGUCAUGGAAGACUCAGAGUCAGAAGACUCUACAAGUAAAGGGGCAACUUUAGAAAGUAUUUCUUCGUCAAGGCCAAGCUCAUGGAGCUUUUUGUUCAUCCUGCAAAAUUUUGCAGUAUGGCAUUUCUUUCCACAUUUGUAACAUGUGGCUUCUUUGUAGUUAAAAGGGGUUUUAUGUUUGGGUCUAAAAUUCUUCUUCUUAGAGAAGUUGGGCUUCUUAUAAGGCCUUGAAGGUUUCUUAUAAGAAAGUUCUCUAAAAUCUUGAAAGGGUUUUUUAUGGCUUUUUUAUUUGUAAUGUUUCUUAUAAGGUUUUGAAGAACAUUCACCAUUACAAUCUUUAGAGGUGGAAGUUUUAAAGGGAUUAUAAUUGAAUUGCUUACAUAAACUGUCUAAUUCUUGUUUAGAUUUUCUAAGCUCCCAUUUUAGACGUUUCUAAAGUUUCAAGUCUUGACAAAUCUUUAAACAUUCUUUAUUAACAAAACUAACUAAUUCACCGUAUGUGAGUUCGUUAUAAAGAAUACGGUUGUCAUUCAAGGCUUUAGUAGAGUUCCUAACUUUUUCUCCUAAGAGGGUUGGUAAACCUGCAAGGAAUUUUUAUUUCCAAGUGAUAUGGUUUGCAUCAUCUCUUAGGAAGAAUCUAGUAAAGAAAGUGGUUUUAUAGCUUUGGAAUUCACUAAGUUUCCUACAUCUCAGGUUGUGUAGUAACUCAGCAUUUUUGUCUCUAAGGUGUGAAGGAUCACUUAUGAAAUGAAGGGAUACAGUCAGAAUUAGGGUAGCAACAGCAUCCUGAAUAUGGUCAUUUAAUUCGUCACAGAUGGGGGCUCCAUUUUCAUCUGUUUGAAUUGAAUUUAGGAUAUCUGAUUGUUGUUGUUUAGUGAGAAGAUGAUCCCACCAACCUUUAAGUUGACCAGUAAAACCCGCAAUGAGAAUUUCUGCAAUAGCCUUGUCAGAAGUUCCCGACUGAGUUUUAUAUGCAUUAGCUGCCAUAGUCAUAUGUUGCAAUAAUCCUAGAAUGUUGUAUUCAGACAUACCAUCAAUGUUCCACUCAUAGACAGAGGAUGCAUUAAAGCGUGAUUGGUUUAAUGCACUAGGUCCGUUGUCUAUGGCUAAGUCAGGUGGAGAUUUGACAGUAGGUAGGGCUAAUUCCCAAUGAAUUUUGUUGGCUUUAGAAACAGGUUCUUCUUUAAAGGCUUCUAUAUCAGAAGAGGCUAUAGAUAUGUCGUCUUGUUCUAGUACACCAAUUUUACUAGAUUGGGCACUAUCAGGGGCUAUUUGGAUUUUACUAGACGAAGAAGAAGAAGCUUCUAUUUUAUUUAGUUAUUCUCUAAUAGCUUUAGCAAAAUCUGAUUUUGACUCUUGAACAAGCUUUUGACUAGUUUUCGAAACCUGAAAGGGUUUGAAAAUAGGCUCUUUAAGCUUUUUGUCAGAAUCCGAUUUUGAAGUAAUAGGAGAAACAGUUAUGGUAGACUUCUGGAAUUGGUUUUCUAUCCUAGUCAACUGUUUUCCUAAUGUGUUUAGGUUAGCAUUACAAAAAUUAUUCUGUUGAAUAAUGCUGCCUAAAUUUGUCUCUGAAUCAUUUGGUUUAUGGAUUUUGUAGGGUGAGGCUUUAAUCUCAACAGGAGGCACACCAUGUUCAAUGGUCAAACUCCUAAGAGGUGGAUGUUCAGAUUCUAUGGUUCUAUCAUUAUCAAUAAGAUUCCAUUCAGGAAUCUUUUUCCUAAUAAUAAUAGGAUUUGAUUCUUUAAAAGGAAAAUCAAUGUUAUUAUCAGAGGCAUACAUUUUAAACCAGCUAAAGAAUAAAAUAUGAACUUUAUGCAGAUUUAUAAAUUCAUAAUAAAUUUCUUGUAUUUGUUUUCUUUGGCUUAAGAAAUUUUUGAAGAACCAAAGUCUUUUUUCUUUAUUGCAAUCAGAAUAAAAGUCAUUAUGUAGAAGAGUUUUAUCUAAUUCAAAAUCUUUUUCAAGAACAUUUAUUACAUUUUCAGUGACAGCGGAAAAUGUAGGAGAGGUUGGAGGAGAAGGUUCCUUCUCUUCCUGUCUUUGUUCAUGUUGACUGCUAGUGUAGAUUGGGUGAGGAACACUAGUGGUAUAGUCAACAGAGUGGAUAGAGGAACUAGGUAUAUCCGAUGUGGAAAACCUAGGUUGGUUUCUUACUGGUUGGAAAGGGAGGUUUAUAACGGAAGGAAUUUUUGAAAAUCUUCUUUCUAAUGAAGGAAUAUUCGUACUUGAGUCUUUAUCAGAGAACCUAGAAGAUGUAGAUCUCCUAAAGGACAGUUUAACCUUCCCAUCUGAAUACUGAGUCAUAUUUUGCAACUCUGUAUUAGGCUCAAGUUGUUUUGGAAUCACUGGUGCAGUGGCUCCUUCAAGAAUCCAUUCGUCUGGAAGAUUGACAUCUUUCCAUUGGAUUGGUUUUGGAAUAACGGUGUUGGCUUUAGAUAUAUCAGUCUGUAAGAGAAGAGUCUCAUCUCUUUUUGACUGAAACUUAUGUUCCAUACUAAACGCAGAAAUCAUGGCUUUGUAUGAGAUUUUAAAAAUUAAGGCUACUGGGACUGAUCCCUCGAUCAUGUAAUAAUUAUGGGUCUUGAUUUGCAAGAUCAUGCUUUUCAUAAUGUUUUUGUCUUUUAGAGAAAUUGUUAUGUUCGGGUAACAGCUAAAUGAGAUGGGACCUUUGCAAAGACUUGAUUCUAUACUACUUAGCAAAGAAUCAUCAAAAGAGAUGAAUCUCCCAUCUCUUAAGACAGCAAGAAUAGAUGUAUUAAGACCUUCUUUUGUUAAGGGCUUUAUACCAACUUGUAUUAAGCCGAUGUGAACAUAAUUAAAAUUUUUAUCUUUUAAUUUCUUUAAGGAGUGUUCUGAAAAUAGGUGAAUAGUUUCAAAUGGCUUUGAAAGGUUAUGUCACGUUCUUCAGUUUUUAUGACAUAAUCAUUCUUUAGAAAAUCAAGCUUUUUUGUUUUGUAAAUCAUUUCUUUAGAAAUCUUUGGUAAUUCCCAAUUAUCAAUUGCUUUAUUAAAGUCUUCAAUUACAAAUUCUUCUGAAUUAACAACAUUCUUAGAAUCACUAGUUUUCCCGGAAGAAGAGCUAGAAAAGGAUGAUGCUCUACAGAGUAGAGAAUCCAUGGAUAAAACCUAUAUUCUAGUUUUAGUCCUGUAGGUAUGGCUACAAUCCAAGGCUAAGAAUUGGUUUUACUGCCCUUCAACCAAAUCGGGACUUACGACCAAAUGCUACCAAGGCACCCAGAGGUAAACACUCACCACACAAACAAUGUUCAAUAAGAACACAAGUCUUUAAACACAGAAAUUCUAUCCUAUAUUACACUAUCCUCCCCAUGGCUCUGAUACCAGUACUUCAAAGGAAGAAAGAAAUUUAUGGGGUUUGUAAGGGGUUUGUAAUUUAUGACUAGUCUGGGUGUCCCUCUUUCUAUCUCAGAAUUCUUAUUGACAUAGAAAGCAGCAUAAGACCAAGGAGACUUAGACUUGACUAUGAGACCUUUAGAUUCUAAAUCUUUUAUCUCAUCUUUGCAAUGUUGCUCUAAUUCCAUGUUCAUUUGGAUUGGACGGGCUUUGGUAAGUAUUUGCUUUUCAUAAAAAGAAUUUUCAUAAGGCAAAUCAACUAAAUGUUGUUUUCUGUUCCAAAAAGCAGAUGGUAUAUCCGCACAUAUUUCUUUUUCAAUGAGGUCUUUAAGAUCAGAGAUUUUUCUUUUUACAAAUUCAUUUUGUAAUUGGUUUUCGAUUUUUUGUAAACUCAAAUCAUUUUUUAAACAAAUCAGAUCAUUUUGUUUUGUUUUGAGGAGUGUAUUGAUUUGGUUCUGGUAAACAGAACAAGCUUUAACAAUAUUCAAAUUUCUUGUUUUAGGUUUCUCAAUAAAAGGAAAAACAAGUCUUUUGGUCUUUGCUUUAAAGGAUAUACUAUCAUAGUUGACAGUAUAAGGAGUAAUGAGAUUGAUAAAGGGGUAUAUAUAUAUAUAUAUAUAUAUAUAUAUAUAUAUCCGAAGCAACCAAUAAAAACCCUCAAUACACAAGCUCACUCUUGGCUUAUAAUUUUGAAGAUGAGAUUUUUAUCAAUAUCAUAUUCAAGUAUGACCUUCAUAAGAUAUGCAACAUCCCCUUCAUAAACCAUUAACUCUAACCUAAACAAAUCAAUUCCCCAAACUACCCUCGACCAUCUUAUAGGAGCUGAUUUCUAACCAGCUAUAACUAUUGUCGGAAAAUCACAAUUAUUAAAAGUUACCGUAAACAUGUUGGCAUUCAAUAUAAAUGUUAACAAAAUUAAUUAGAGUUCAUAAACAUUUCCGAAAAACUAAUUUUCCACAAAAACAUUAAAACUGUCUAGUGACAAAAUAAACAAAGGACUAUUGGUUUAAAAAUUCAUAAUUUUAGUGAUAUGUGUUCAAAAAUAGUGAUUCAAGUUUUGAUCAUCAGAGGAGACAAUAUAGAGCUAAUGAAAAAGUAAUUAAAAUUAGCUUCAAUAUCACCAGCUUGAAAUUCUGGAAAGCCGCUUCCAAGAUUGCGGCAACCCAGCUCUAUGAUUUUUAAUGAUUUUCAUAUAAAUCCAAAACUUACGAUAUUAAAUACAAAAAAAAAAAAUAGACGUGGAUAUAUAGUAAUAAAAUUUUCUAGAAAUUUUCGGAAGUCAUUUGGAUUACAAAAUAAAUUAUAGAAUUGAGGAUUGCUGUCGAAAAUUGAAAUUUUUCGGUACUAGUAUUCCAAAUUUGAAAAAUCAAAACAAUUAAUAUGCAAUGAAUUUUUGGACAAUAAAUAUAUGGAUACAAAAAUAAAGAUGUCUAGUUUAAUAGGAUAUGAAGUUUUAUGCAUGAGAUUUAACGACAACAUCAACUAUAUAACAUUGAAUCUGCACUGUUUACAGUUUUCAGGAUAAUGUAAACAAAACCAUUCAAAUAAUGACAUAGAAUCACACAUACAAUAGAAAUUCAAAAGAUUAUAAAUACUUACCUCUCUAAGAAGAAUUUCACUCCAGACUACACCUUUGAGACUUAAAGCUUUUGUUCAAACACUUCUUGAAAAUUGUUUUAAUGCAAAUGAGAUACAACAUCAAGACACACACGCAAGCCACACACAAAGAAAAUAAAAAUACAAUCAAACUCAAUCAUUUAGCAUAAUUACUCUAGCCCAGUGUCUCCACUUUCCAAACAUUAAUCAUUCAACAUAAUCAUUACUCCACUCCACCAAUUUCUCCACUUACCAAACAUUAAUCAUUCAAUUUAAUUACUAACAUAAAAUAAUGUAUUCUAUUUAAAAAAAAUAAAAAUCCAAAAGACACUUUAAUCAUUCACUUGUAUAUAAUAAGUAUAAAAUACUACAUUAUGAAAUACAUACAUGAAAGAAAUAGAAGAAAUUUUAGGGUUUACAAAGCCACAUCCUCCUGAAGAGAAAAUUAAACCAUUCAAGUUGGAGCCACUUCCUAAAGAAUCACAUUCUGACAUGAAAAAGGUGGUAAGAUCUAAAGUGCUUAAAUUGUUAGAUUUUUAUAUUACUUCAGAUAACUCUUAGGUAAGCUUGAAACAGAAGAGAUCAAAGCAGUGUGAUAUUGAGGAGUUUCAUUACCAUCAUCCUUUUAUAGAUAAAAAGCUCCAGUGCUUAGUCAAUUAUGUUUUCUGGUAUUUUCUGUAUAAUUGCUUUGAUUUUCACCAAAUUCUUAUUGAUUCUAGUUGAUUUGUUAUUUACAUUAAUUAUUUAGUUUAGUACGAUUUUAUUUAUUUUAUUUUUUUAUUAUUUAUAUUUAUUCGAACGUUUUUUUUUUUAGUUGUCAUUUUCUUUUAAGCUUCCCCAACCCAUUCAGGUGUGUUCUCUCCAACUUUUUCUUUUAUUAUUUAUGUUUUUAUUUUAUUUUUUCAUCUUUUUGCAUACAUAUCUUUUAUUUAUGAAACAUUGAGGACAAUGUUCCGAAUAAGUUUGGGGAUGGGAAUGGUGUGUGCUUUGUUUGUUAUUUAAAAAAAUCAAAAAAAAAAUCAAAUUUUUUUUUUUUUUUUGUGAAAAGUCAAUGAUAAGAACUUGAUUGACAAGGAAUAUGGUUCUUAGAAAGGGUUGAAUAUUGUCUUAGUUUAUACUUGGUUCUUGUGUUAAUUGCUAUUGAUUGAGAUUCUUUAAACAGCAUGAGUACUAAUAUCAAUUCUUUCAUAAUUUUGACUUGAAAUCUGAGAUUGACGCAGCCUGAAUUGAGAAUUUUAGAUAGAGUAAAUGAUUGUUUUCUUGAUUCUUAUCUCCACAAUACAAAAUAGUAUACACAGGCACCAAAUUCAAAAAUAAUUAUCUAUAACCCUUAAGAGUGAAACUAUCUUUAAGUAAUUUGGGCUUACAUACCACCAGUAUAUAGAGGAUAAUCUACCGUAAGAAGAAGGCUACCUUAAGGGGUAGAGUGAACGUUUCUGACUUUGGUUUAAAAAAACAAAAGAGAAAAAAAUCAAGUCCAUGUGCUAAAAAAAAACAAAAUAAAAUGCGUAUAAAAGCCUAUAAAAAAAGAAAAAAAUUGGAGAUCAAGAUGAUAAGAUUAGUUUGACCUACUUUUUUCUGUAUUAGAGGCGAAGGCUAUUGAUAUUGAAGAUUUUGGGAAUUGAUUUGAUUGAAUUGAUUUCACACACACACACACACACUACAAGAAUCGAAAGAGAACUGUUGAAUUAAAGUUAGAAAUUUGCCAAUAUUUGAAAAUUUCUUUGAGCUAUAUAACUUAUGCAACCAUUAAGGCUAUUUUUAUGUUUUAUUUAAAGUUAUUUUAUUUUAUGUUUUUUUAUUUUAAAUGAUGCUUGUGGAUCGUUGGUAUGAAUUCAAAUGCUAUUAGUGUCAAUGUGCAAGUGUACACAACAAGUAAUAAAGUGAUGAGUAUUCAAAAUCGUCUCCACAGGGAUUGAUGUUAUCAGACUUACUACAGUAAUUUUAACAGUGCAGAUUUUGUUCUAAAUUAAAAUAAAACAAUUAAUGAAACUAAUAUACUAAUUAAAAUAAAAACGCAAUAAAUAAAAUGCAACAAAGUAAAUUAUCAGUCAAACUCAAGGAUAAAACCAAUGGGAAUAUAGAGUGGUUGAGUGAAUAAACUCUCCUAAUGGCCUUGAGUAUUUUCUACUGGUUGGCUCGGUUACUGCAGUAUCUGCUACAGCACUGGGCAGAAUCCUUAUGCAUCUUCAGCCGUCCCAUGUUGGAUAUCUUAUAUCUAUAUGCAACCUAACGGUGAUCAAUUGUUAUGCAAACAUAAGAUAUAGCAUUACACGCUUAGGUUCUAUUUACCCUACAAGGUGAAUUCAUAUGUCUAAUUCAUCACUAAUCUUAAAUCAAGUAUGGCCCUUUUGGGACUCAAGUAAAACUCAAUCCAGAAAACCCAAUUUAAGAUCAAGUAUUGUUUUGAUAUGUUCCACUAAGAUAGACUCUUUUGUGGCUCUUCCUUAGCUAGUAUCAUUAAAUGGGUGAUCAGUUGAAAUAAUGAAUAAAAAUAAAUUCUAUCAAAACAAAAUGCUACAGCAAAUAUGCAGCAACACAUAUUUUCAGUCAAUAAACCAUCAAGAUUGUUUAUCACUCAACUACAAAUAAAUUUAGUUCAUAAUUUGUAAAAGAAAAAUAAAGAGCAAAGUUUCAGCCAUAAAACACAUCCCCGUGAAUAAAUAGAAAACAAUAGAAGAAUAAGAAUGGCUGAGCUCCCAAUUGAUCUCUAUAAUUUCUCCUCUUGUGGAGCCCUUAAUCUCUCUCUUGAAUCUUGUUUUUCUUUUGUUUCUUUGUAGUUUUUCUCCUUGGGUUACGGCCCUCUUUAUUCCUUAUGAUGUGUGCUUCUUUUAUAGCUGAAAAUUAGAGUAAACGGAAGCCUAGGGCGCGCAUAAGUCAGAUUAGGAAACUGCAGAUCGCAAUUCUGCAAGUAUUCCGUGUGAAAUUUUCUCUAUCGUUGUUCCAAGAUUGCUACAGCAACGGCUACAAAAAAUGCAUUGUUCUAGAUUUGUUUCAAUUCUUUUGUAGUUAAGUUCUUUUCCAUCUUUUGCAAGCUUAUUACAUCAGCAUUCCUUCCUUGAAAUUUGGACUUCCGAACACCUACAUUUAUGCAUAUGAUUUAGCACACAAAUUAUUCUAAAUCAAACACAAUUUAUUACGAAUAAACUAAGAUGAAUGUUUAUGUAAAAUAUAAUAAAAAUGCAAUGAAAACACAUUAUUUACUCUCUAAGUAUUAUUGAUUUAAGUCUAAAAGUGUUAUGAUAACUCUUAUUUUAUAGAGUUAUCACACCCCCAAACUUAAACCAUUACUUGUCCUUAAGUAAUGACAACAACACUUCACAAUCAUGCAACAAUUAACUUAGCUCUAAUGUCAAAAUUGCAAGGAUUCGUCAACCCUCAGAUCACACUCUUAAUCACGCAAAAUAACCAUAGCAGUUCAAUUCUAGACUUAGGCUUCAUUCUGUCCAAAAUGUAUGUGUGCCACUUUGAUCAAAUUCCAGAGGUGCUACAACACUACAGAGACAUUGCAUAUAAUUUAGAGGUAGAACACAGAUGUAUUCACAUAUGGGGAAGCGGAAUUCACAAAUAAACUCAAAUUGUGCUACAACAAACACAAUUAUUUUUUUGGGAGCAAUUAGACAUAUUUGCAUGUGAAGUCAAGCCAAGGAAACUGAAUUCAACAGAUUAAUUCAUCCAUGCACAUGAAGACAAAGAAGAUUACGACCAUCACGUGAGAAGCAAUCACCAUUAUUGUUAGCAUGUGCAUGGCAUUAAAAAAGGAAUCCUACUGCAAUUCUAAGUGGUGAGCACGUGUGAGAGCAAAACAAAUUAAAAGGCCAAGCCUUUUGGCUUUAGAAUUGGAAUGGUCGGUGGCCCAUUUUGGAGAUUAUAAAAAGAAAGGUGAACUUUGGCUUUUAAUAGGGCAGCUGUGAAAGGAGAAAAAAGAGAGAAAUGUUACGCAUUCGGCAGAGAAGAAAAUAGUGGCGGCAGCUCUUUAAUUUUUCCAUGACUGGUUUUAUUUUAUUUGUUGCUCCCAAUUCAAGUAUGUCUAUCUAAUUUUCUUUUACUAAGGUUAAGGAUAAAACCCUAUCCAAUGAAAUAAUUAUAUUUUUAUUUAAUUAAUACCCUACAUGCGUGUUUUAUUGUUUAUGGUUCUUGUUUCAUAUGAUUAGUUAAAUGUUAUUAAAUCUUUUCAUCAAUUCUAUCAAGCAUUAUUGAUUGUUAGGAUUAAUAUUCGAUUAAUUUAUGUUUUGGUGUAUAAAGUUUUUAUAUGAUUAUCUUUAAUUUUAUAUCUUUCAUUAAAUUAUUUACACAGAGUGCUUAGGAAAAUUUUGACUCUUUGUUAUUCAAUAUGUUUACAUGAGAUGUUUAGAUAUCAUACUAUUAAGCAGAAAAAGAACAGACAUUAGAUUUAAUUACUUGGGUUUAAUUGUUAUAUCCAUGAGAUGACAUAGAUUGAUUUCGAGUUGUCACUUUAAAAUUAGGGAUUAAUUAACAAUUUGAUAAUUAUUAGUUGAAUAGUGGUGGAUUCUGAAACCUUAGUAAUUUUUGUCUUAUUGAAUUCUCCUUUAUUUUAAUUGUUUUCUUAGUUUAAUUAGUUUAAUUUAUCUUAAAACUCAAUUUGCUCAACUAGGUUAGAAUUAAUAUUAAUUUUAUAUUUAAAUUAGACAUUUCAAUUUAUAACAAUUCAUGUGGGUUCGAUCUCGUUACUACUGUUUUAUUUUUAGAUUUGUGUGCUUAUGAGUAUAUUAAAAUUUUUCAUAGCAUCAUGCAAGCAAACUUUUCACUUGCAUAUCAAAUUGCGAUGGUGGUGAGGAAAAUUUUUUUUUUUUACAUUUUAAGGAUAAUUUUAAAAAUAAAAUGAUUAAUUGAAUAACGGAAACUAAUGAGAUAAAUUGAAAGAUCAAAUAUCAUUUCAACAAAGGUAUUAUUAUUAUUGUCAUCAUUAUUUAUUUUUUAAAUCCAUACGGAGCUACAGCUCGAUGCACUGGUUCAAAUGUGCUCUACUUUAUUAUAUUCUUAGAACUUGAGUUAAACUUGAAAUUGUCACUCUCUUAGUAAAAUUUAAGAGAGUGGGUUCGAAUCUCAAGGAAUUCUAUAUUUCAUAUUUGUCACGAGUAAUAAAAAAAAAUCUCGAAAUUAUAAAUGGAGAAUAUGAGAAAUUUGAAAUUAGCUGCAAAAUGAUGUCAUCCAUCUAGGGAUGGCAAAACCCCGGGCUGGGUCCGGAUAUUGCAAUGACCGGACCCUGCCCGAAUGCAACCGGUCUGGGUUCAGGUCCGGGUUUUAAUCCAGGUACUUAAAUUUUAUAUUUUUUAAUAUCAUAUGUGUAUAUAUUUUAUAUUUUUUGGUAAUUUUAUAAGUUUUAAAUUUAUUUCAAUAAAAUUUGACAUGAAAAUAUAAAUUUUAAGUGUUUAAAAUUUUAUAUAUGUAUAAUAAAUGAGUCAAAUAAAUAUAAAUAUUUAAAAUAAUAAAUAUUUUAUAAUUUUUUUAAAAAAAUUUAGAUUCCAAAUUUAUCAAGUGAUGCCCAAAAUCAACCCGACUUCAUAUCCAAACUAAAAAAUACCCAACCUACAAUACUUAAAUACGAUCUAAGUCUGAACCAAACGGAUAUUUUUACCACCUCUACAUCCAUCCAAGAUAAGACGGUGAUCAUUAAGAUAACGAAUAGGUUCCUUUCAAGAUUACAGCUGGACAUGGGCUGAGAGAAAAUUUUUUUUUUUUUUUCUCUUUUUGAGCUUUGGAGAAUAACAGGAGGUGAUAAUUAAUUAAACAAACAAACACCACUCGACAAAAUUAUAAACGACAAGAAGAAUUAUUUCAUUCAAGUUUAUGUGGUGACGAUUCAAGAUAACAUCGGGGCACGAGGGGGACGGUCAACAGACAAAUUACCAUCACAAUAAACGUGUCAAAUAAAUGCAGGUGCGCCCCGAAGAGAGGAAGAAACUCCAAAUUAUUGGAUAAUCAUAGCAAAAUGGUAUUGCUUGCCUAGAUCAGAAGUAAUCUUGUAUCAUUUUUUAGCUUCCCCAAAUUCUGUUUCUGUACACUGUAAGUAUUUUUCAUCCUCAUUUUCUUGUUUCCACUUUCCAUUAUGCGUUAUAUCACCAUUUAUUUUCAUCUCGACAUUUGGUUUCAAUCAGAUCACCGGAGGAAAUAAAGAUGGGAAGAACACAGAUCAUCUCAAAGAGCACCGUCUGUGCAGCAAUUCACAAGGAACCAAACCUUAGAAUUUGAUACCAUUCAGAAAGGACUUCUCUUCCGCAAACCUCCAAAUGAUAACACCGAUACCAGCAGCGUAAACUUGAUCCACCACCUCAAGACCUCCCUUGCACGAACGCUAGACUACUUUCCCGCACUUGCCAGUCGCCUAGCCACCAUUGAGCAUCAUGAUGACAGCAACACAAUUUCUGUUUACAUAAAUUGCAACAAUGCCGGCGCAGAGUUUGUGCACGCCACGGCCGAUGGAGUCUCUGUUGCAGAUAUCAUUUCACCUGUUUAUGUUCCUAAUGAAAUUGUUUACUCUUUUUUCCCACUAAAUGGAGUAACAAACUGUCAGUGUAUCUCCGAGGCCAAGCCGUUGCUUGGGGUUCAAGUGACAGAGCUUGUGGAUGGAAUCUUCAUCGCUUGCACUAUCAAUCACUCCGUUGUUGA
rnacentral:lncRNA from 1 species